CCAUUUUAUCUGUUCUGAGAUACUGGCAUCGGACUGGGAACUGAAUCCAGCCUGGGGAAGAUCCGUGCUAACCACCCUAACCAGCACAAGAUCCCUAAAGUGACUGCCCAGCAUGGAUCAUCAGGUCAGAAUCCUUACAGGGAGGCCCCUAUUUUUCUCCCUCAUUUCAAAUAAAGAUACGGAAGACCAGAAGGGGUCUCAGCUGAAACGCCACGUCCUAAGAAUGGCUUUUCCUGACGAACCGCUCUCAAGAAACUCCCUCCAUCACCUCCGUCUCCUCAAUGUGGCUUUUUGUUUCCCUGU